UACGGGGGGGGCAAGCGUUGUUCGGAAUUACUGGGCGUAAAGGGCUCGUAGGCGGCCAACUAAGUCAGACGUGAAAUCCCUCGGCUUAACCGGGGAACUGCGUCUGAUACUGGAUGGCUUGAGUCCGGGAGAGGGAUGCGGAAUUCCAGGUGUAGCGGUGAAAUGCGUAGAUAUCGGGAGGAACACCAGUGGCGAAGGCGGCUUCCUGGCCUGUUCUUGACGCUGAGGCGCGAAAGCUAGGGGAGCAAACGGG
rnacentral:rRNA from 1 species